rnacentral:rRNA from 1 species
UUCGAUUCUGGCUCAGGAUGAACGCUAGCGGCAGGCUUAACACAUGCAAGUCGAGGGGUAACAGGGAGUAGCAAUACUCUGCUGACGACCGGCGCACGGGUGCGUAACGCGUAUGCAACCUACCUGUAACAGGGGUAUAACGGAGGGAAACUUCCACUAAUCCCCCAUAUUCUUGCGGAUUCGCAUGUUUCUGCAAGGAAAGCUUUUUUGUGGUUACGGAUGGGCAUGCGUGACAUUAGCUAGUUGGUAAGGUAACGGCUUACCAAGGCGACGAUGUCUAGGGGAGCUGAGAGGCUUAUCCCCCACACUGGUACUGAGACACGGACCAGACUCCUACGGGAGGCAGCAGUGAGGAAUAUUGGUCAAUGGAGGGAACUCUGAACCAGCCAUGCCCGCGUGGAGGAAGAAGGUCCUAUGGGUUGUAAACUCCUUUUGUUCCGGAGUAAUAAGUGGUUUGCGAACCACGAUGAGAGUACGGGACGAAUAAGCAUCGGCUAACUCCGUGCCAGCCGCCGC